rnacentral:rRNA from 1 species
GAUGAACGCUGGCGGCGUGUCUAAUACAUGCAAGUCGAGCGAACAGACGAGGAGCUUGCUCCUCUGACGUUAGCGGCGGACGGGUGAGUAACACGUGGAUAACCUACCUAUAAGACUGGGAUAACUUCGGGAAACCGGAGCUAAUACCGGAUAAUAUAUUGAACCGCAUGGUUCAAUAGUGAAAGACGGUUUUGCUGUCACUUAUAGAUGGAUCCGCGCCGCAUUAGCUAGUUGGUAAGGUAACGGCUUACCAAGGCGACGAUGCGUAGCCGACCUGAGAGGGGGAUCGGCCACACUGGAACUGAGGCACGGUCCAGACUCCUACGGGAGGCAGCAGUAGGGAAUCUUCCGCAAUGGGCGAAAGCCUGACGGAGCAACGCCGCGUGAGUGAUGAAGGUCUUCGGAUCGUAAAACUCUGUUAUUAGGGAAGAACAAAUGUGUAAGUAACUAUGCACGUCUUGACGGUACCUAAUCAGAAAGCCACGGCUAACUACGUG